rnacentral:lncRNA from 1 species
CAUCACCUGGCUCCCCCACUCAUUAACAAACAACAUCUGUGCGUGUUUUGAUGCCUUUCUGUUUAGAAUAACUGUGCAUUAUAAGGAGAAAGAGGCACCUGAUCACCACACACUUCUUGGAUUUUUAGUUAACCUAUCACCUUAACAGUUGGACAGCUGGUGGACGUUUUCAAGAAUGGCAAUUUUCUUCUUGCUGUUGACCACAGGGAAUGAGGAUUUCAGGAGGCCAACAAAUUUUUGCUUUCCUAGUGAGAAGAUGGGGCUAGGUGACUAACUGCUGACCAGUGAGGUGUGUGCCAAAGUGAUAUGAGAUGCUUCUACACUGCAGCCAGAAAAGGAAGAAGUACACCCACCUUCUGCUGCUGCUUCUAAAGCAAACUGGCUAGUGGUGAGCCAUGAAGAAUGUGAAGAUGAGGCAACACCUUGGAGUCACCUAAACUGCAUACACAAGAAGUCACCGCUAACAGACAUUACUUUCUGGUAUCCUGAGC